CAGAGGGUGCGAGCGUUAAUCGGAAUUACUGGGCGUAAAGGGCGCGUAGGCGGUUAUAUAAGUGAGAUGUGAAAUCCCUGGGCUUAACCUAGGAACUGCAUCUUAGACUGUAUGACUGGAGUGCAGUAGAGGGUAGUGGAAUUUCCGGUGUAGCGGUGAAACGCGUAGAUAUCGGAAGGAACACCAGUGGCGAAGGCGGCUACCUGGACUGACACUGACGCUGAGGCGCGAGAGCGUGGGGAGCAAACAGGAUUAGAUACCCUGGUAGUCCACGCUGUAAACGAUGAGAACUAGAUGUUGGUAGGCUUGACCUAUUAGUAUCGCAGCUAACGCAAUAAGUUCUCCGCCUGGGGAGUACGACCGCAAGGUUA
rnacentral:rRNA from 1 species